GCUGGUGUCACUGCUCAGUGUUUUCAGUUUCCUAGUCCCACUCCUGGGGCCUUGCUUGCUAUCGUGCCUGCCCGCUUCAGAGCUAUUCAAAGGAACCUGAAUGAUUUCGGCAAAGAAUUAAGGCUUUUAAUUUCUUCACAAAUGGAACAAUAGCAAUAAUGUAUAUUCCAUGUGAUGUAUAAGUAAUAGGAAUCAGGACCUUGCUGUGCUACUGAGUUAUAUCCUGGCCCUGAAGCAAUGUAUAAUUGUUGAGGAAAGGUCUGAGAAAACAUAAAAGUAUAAGGAAGCAAGAAGUGAUGCUAGAAGCACCCUGAGCCACAGGGGAAAGCAUCCAGGCAGCCCAUCACAGGGACACACCAGUUGGCUCCCUGAGUGUUGUCAAGAAAACAGCCAUGACAGAGCAAAGGCAGAAGGAGGAGGAGCACCUUUCCUUUUACAUCUCCAGGAGCGGAGGUGACAGUGGCAGGGGCCACUGCACAGCUUCCCAGCCUGCAAGAUGCAGCUUGUUUUCUAAGUCACAUUUUCAAACAUAGUCUUGGAAAGAUCUGCAGUUUCUUGUAGGAACAAAGUUUGUCUUUUUCAAGGGCGAUCUUGUCAAAGGGUUGCCCUUGACAAUAACAAACACCAAAACCCCAGAAAGACCCAUUCCUUUUUAUUUCAUCCAUUUCUUGUGAUGAUGAGGAUCAUUGACUGAAAUGGAAGAUGGCUGUCCAUGGAUUACUUUCUACAACAUCCAAUUAAAUUAUGUUCAUGUUGUCAUGAAAA